rnacentral:rRNA from 1 species
AGGAUGAACGCUAGCGGCAGGCUUAACACAUGCAAGUCGAGGGGUAACAGGUCUUUCGGGACGCUGACGACCGGCGCACGGGUGAGUAACGCGUAUGCAAUCUGCCUUCAGCUGGAGGAUAGCCCGGAGAAAUCCGGAUUAAUACUCCAAAUGCUAUCGGACGGCAUCGUCUGAUAUCUAAAGCUCCGGCGGCUGAUGAUGAGCAUGCGUGACAUUAGUUAGUUGGUGAGGUAACGGCUCACCAAGACUACGAUGUCUAUGGGGUCUUAAAGGAUGAUCCCACACACUGGUACUGAGACACGGACCAGACUCCUACGGGAGGCAGCAGUGAGGAAUAUUGGUCAAUGGGCGAAAGCCUGAACCAGCCAUGCCGCGUGAAGGAUGACGGCCCUACGGGUUGUAAACUUCUUUUGUACGGAAAGAACAAAGGCUACGUGUAGCCUCUUGACGGUACCGUACGAAUAAGCAUCGGCUAACUCCGUGCCAGCAGCCGCGGUAAUACGGAGGAUGCAAGCGUUAUCCGGAUUUAUUAGGUUUAAAGGGUGCGUAGGCGGAGUUUUAAGUCAGUGGUGAAAUCUUGUGGCUCAACCAUGAAACUGCCAUUGAUACUAUUGCUCUUGAAUGUAGUUGAGGUAGGCGGAAUGUGUAGUGUAGCGGUGAAAUGCUUAGAUAUUACACAGAACACCAAUUGCGAAGGCAGCUUACUAGACUAUGAUUGACGCUGAGGCACGAAAGCGUGGGGAGCGAACAGGAUUAGAUACCCUGGUAGUCCACGCUGUAAACGAUGAUCACUGGUUGUUGGCGAUACACUGUCAGCGACUGAGCGAAAGCAUUAAGUGAUCCACCCUGGGGAGUACGUCGGCAACGAUGAAACUUCAAAGGAAUUGACGGGGGCCCGCACAAGCGGAGGAACAUGUGGUUUAAUUCGAUGAUACGCGAGGAACCUUACCUGGGCUUAAAUGUAGCAUGACUGCUGUCGAAAGAUAGUUUCCCUUCGGGGCAAGUUACAAGGUGCUGCAUGGCUGUCNNGUCCAANGCUCGUGCCGUGAGGUGUCGGGUUAAGUCCCAUAACGAGCGCAACCCUAUCGUUAGUUACCAGCGCGUAAAGGACGGGGACUCUAACGAGACUGCCACCGUAAGGUGUGAGGAAGGUGGGGAUGACGUCAAGUCNNAGCACAGGCCCUUACGUCCAGGGCUACACACGUGUUACAAUGGCCAGUACAAAGGGCAGCUACCAGGCGACUGGAUGCUAAUCUCCAAAACUGGUCUUAGUUCGGAUUGAAGUCUGCAACUCGACUUCAUGAAGUUGGAUUCGCUAGUAAUCGCGCAUCAGCCACGGCGCGGUGAUACGUUCCCGGGCAUUGUACACACCGCCCGUCAAGCCAUGGAAGCUGGGGGUACCUGAAGUCCGUAACCGCAAGGA